GGGCUUUUAAUAUCUAACUAGUUUUUCUGGCACCUGUAAUGCAGGUGCAUAUUGCACUGAUAUAUUAUAAUAAAAAAUACCACUAUAUUUUUUCCAUAUCUCGUACACAUCUUUUGCAUUUAUUAAUCGGUAAAAGAGAUUUUUAUAAUAACAUCAUUAAUGCAUAAUGGUUGUUGCCUCAAACCAUUGCAAUGCAAAGCCACUGUAAACUACCAACUAGCC
rnacentral:lncRNA from 1 species